rnacentral:rRNA from 1 species
UGCGUAGGCGGAAAAUUAAGUCAGUGGUGAAAUCCUGCAGCUUAACUGUAGAACUGUCAUUGAUACUGGUUUUCUUGAAUACAGUUGAGGUAGGCGGAAUGUGUAAUGUAGCGGUGAAAUGCUUAGAUAUUACACAGAACGCCGAUUGCGAAGGCAGCUUACUAAACUGUUAUUGACGCUGAGGUACGAAAGCGUGGGGAGCGAACAGGAUUAGAUACCCUGGUAGUC